ensembl:lncRNA
AAGGGUUGGCAGUGGAGGUAAGGGUUUCUUACUGAAGAUCCCUGUGUACCUGAGGCCUUCUGAAGUUUUCACAGAGUGCCUCUUUCAGAGACAUGAGAUGAAUUUGCCACAGAACAAUGAGCUGGAGUCAACGUCAUUCAGGAACAGUUAUGACCUGCAUUCAAAUACACGCUCUUCCAACAAGUACCUAUAGCCUCUGGCAUCUAGCCAUCACCAUCUUAAUUGGCAGCACCAGGAACAGCAACAGAGAAUAUGCUACAGAAGGUCAUAAUUGGUGAGAUCUUCCUCAACCAACUUCAGGCACUGAAUCCAAACCGUGAGCUGUUUCUGCAGGAAACACAGAGUGCCUCUGGCAGAGGGGUCUGUGUCACCCUAAAGCAAAUAAGGUCUUCUGAAGAAUCUUUAACAGAUGAAGGACAUAACCAGCAAACCCAAGUCUGUCUUUCAGAGGAGAAGUGCAAUGAAUCCCCCUGAAAGAGAGCCAAAGGAACUUAACACAGCACAAAUACUUUUUAGACCUUUGCUAAAUUGUGAAAUGAUGAUGAUAGUAACAACCAAACUCAUCACCUCUUUAAUGUUAUUCCAUUAACUUUGUUAUUUCUAUAUUUAAAUGUAUCUUCAUAUACUUUACACAUUUAUUAGAAAUUGUAUGGCAUAUUUUUAAAGCUUUUCUUCUGUGACUGAAACGGAGCAGAUAAAUUGAUGUGAAUUAUUUUAAUACCAUGCAUUUCAAUGGCACCAUUCCACUGAACUUUCUGCCCUAUUACCCUUAAGUUACAGUUUCAGGACAGGUUAUUAAGAUUCCAUUUUCUAUUUCAAAAACUUGAAAUAAAUAAGUGUAUAUUUUCCCGUGUGCUACGUGGUAGCAUUAUAAAGAGAUUCCGGACAGGUCUUAUCUAGAGCAAGGUUCAUUUAUAAUAGCAACUGUACUUCUUUAUGGCUUACCUUGGAAUGAAACCAUACUUGAAACCAUACUGACUGAUUAUUUUUUACAAAUUCCAAAAUCAGAGCAGAUAUACUAUUUGCUUUCUUGCACCUUACUGUUAUCUUACUGUUAUGCAUGUGGAUGUGAAACACUGCGGUAUAACAUGGCAGGACACUCAGUUCUCUCUUCAGCUGUUCUGCUGAGAAAAAUGAUGCUACAGGAAGGGAGCAAAGCAGUCCCAACAAACACAGAACAUGAGCCACUGGAGGGCCCAGAAAAGCUGAAGAUCCACCUCUGCGUUUUCCACAUCUGCACUUUAGAAUCCAUACCUCUAUUGAUACUCAGGUUCUACCUCUCUUCCUGAAAAUCAAUCUGUUCCUUCAAGUUGAUAAAGAGUUAAUAAAACACUCCAGCAUUUCUCACUUGAAUGGCUUUUACAGACUAAAUAAAAAUAUUCUGUGUACAGCAACUGAAAAAGCCAAAUUAAUUCAGCAUAUCUCACCAGUGAAAUUAAUGGUAUUGCAACAGAAAUUAAUUUUUCAACUCAUUAGGGUAAUGUGAAUGUGUCAACUCUCACUGAUUCAAUGACUACUAGGGAGUGAGGCCACAUUUAAAGAAGUGAAAUCAUUACCAACGUUCUCCUUAAUACUUACUGUGGAGCUUUUACUUAUUUCCAGUUACAAUUUUUGCAGUCUCAAACAAAGCAAUACUAACAAGUUUUGGAGUUGUAAACAUAUUCUGCAAUGAAUAUUCAAUGGAAGUAAAAAUUGGACCUUGUACCCUGGAGAGAUAUGGUGAGAGGAUUUGAUUUCAGGACUUGUGACGAGAAAGGGAACAGAUUCAUGAUGCGGGACAUCCAUGGAGCUGGUCCUGGUUUAAGUACAGCUCAUGUUCUUCAGCACAUUCAAAUGAGAGCAGGUAAAUUCCCCUAGAAGUGUUUCAACAUGUCAGUCCUCCCUUCCAUAAUGGAAAUUCCAGUAUCAAUGAUAAGAGUGUAAACUGGUAUUAGCAGCACAGAGGUCAAGAGAGCUAGGUUUAAACACUGUGAUAAAAACUUGAACAUGGAAGUGUUUGACAUGGCAAAAUUAUGGGUCAGAUUUUGACCUUAGUCAUUGGGAUGUAUUUCUGAUUUAAUCAUAUACUUCAAGAUUGAUUUUCUAAAGGCAUUCUUUGAAAUUUGAAGACAG